GCGAACGGGUGAGUAACACGUGAGUAACCUGCCCUCUUCUUGGGGAUAACGGUCUGAAAGGGCUGCUAAUACCGGAUGUUCACUGUCUGUCGCAUGGUGGGUGGUGGAAAGAUGCACUGUUGUGGUGUUUUGGUGGGGGAUGGGCUCGCGGCCUAUCAGCUUGUUGGUGGGGUGAUGGCUUACCAAGGCUUUGACGGGUAGCCGGCCUGAGAGGGUGACCGGUCACAUUGGGACUGAGAUACGGCCCAGACUCCUACGGGAGGCAGCAGUGGGGAAUUUUGCACAAUGGACGCAAGUCUGAUGCAGCGACGCCGCGUGAGGGAUGGAGGCCUUCGGGUUGUGAACCUCUUUCGCUCAUGGUCAAGCCGCAACUGUGGGUUGUGGUGAGGGUAGUGGGUAAAGAAGCGCCGGCUAACUACGUGCCAGCAGCCGCGGUAAUACGUAGGGCGCGAGCGUUGUCCGGAAUUAUUGGGCGUAAAGGGCUUGUAGGCGGUUGAUCGCGUCUGCCGUGAAAUCCUCUGGCUUAACUG
rnacentral:rRNA from 1 species